UCAUGAAACAUGUUUAGAAUUCGAAAUACUAAAAUGAGGAUAUGUAGUUCAUAUAAGCACAUAUUUGGAAUAUGAAUCUCCCGAUUGUUGCAGAGUAUCUUCAUCCAGCCAAGCUUUUGGUGGGCUUAAGAGAUCUCAUGUUAUUGUUGUAACUCUUUGCAGCAGGUGUGUGUCUUUCUUUUAGUACUGCUUCAGCAGAACCAGUAUCAUCAACAACUGACGGGACUAUUAUAAAUCUCGACAUUUCUGCUCCAUUGGAAGAAUGAAAUUAGUCUGAUUGAGCUUUCUGCAGUUUCUGAUACUGAGUUUGUCAACGCUAUCAAGCAUUGAAAUGAAAUUAUUCUUACAGUUGAAAGAACGCAUGAAUUAGAGGUUUUCUCUCAAGGACAGAGAGUGAUCAAGUGAUCAAUACAUUGCCGAGUCCAACAGAGUAUGCAAACCCAACCUACAAGACAAGGCAACUUGACAGCAAUAAGUUUUGAGCAACUAUAGAGUUUCAACAAAUGCGGAACAGUGAGACAGAUUUGCAACGACAAGAAGCAAGCUGAAAAAUGCAAUAAUUGAAGCUUUGGACAUGUUACUGGAGAGGAACCACUCUCCUGUUCCUUUUUUGCACAUAUUGGGAAGAAAACGAAAAUUAUACCCAUAUUGUAUGGAAACUCUAUCAAAAUUUUAAUCUUAAUAUGGAGCAUCAUUUAUAGUUG